rnacentral:rRNA from 1 species
AUUGAACGCUGGCGGCAGGCCUAACACAUGCAAGUCGAACGGUAACAGGAAGCAGCUUGCUGCUUCGCUGACGAGUGGCGGACGGGUGAGUAAUGUCUGGGAAACUGCCUGAUGGAGGGGGAUAACUACUGGAAACGGUAGCUAAUACCGCAUAACGUCGCAAGACCAAAGAGGGGGACCUUCGGGCCUCUUGCCAUCGGAUGUGCCCUGAUGGGAUUAGCUAGUAGGUGGGGUAACGGCUCACCUAGGCGACGAUCCCUAGCUGGUCUGAGAGGAUGACCAGCCACACUGGAACUGAGACACGGUCCAGACUCCUACGGGAGGCAGCAGUGGGGAAUAUUGCACAAUAGGCGCAAGCCUGAUGCAGCCAUGCCGCGUGUAUGAAGAAGGCCUUCGGGUUGUAAAGUACUUUCAGCGGGGAGGAAGGGAGUAAAGUUAAUACCUUUGCUCAUUGACGUUACCCGCAGAAGAAGCACCGGCUAACUACGUG